AACGGAGCGCAAGCGACGUUCAACCGCAAAAGAAGCAGAGGGGGCUUAGUGGUGGGGUGACUGCGUACCUUUUGUAUAAUGGGUCAGCGACUUAUAUUCUGUAGCAAGGUUAACCGUAUAGGGGAGCCGGAGGGAAACCGAGUCUUAAUUGGGCGUUAAGUUGCAGGGUAUAGACCCGAAACCCGGUGAUCUAGCCAUGGGCAGGUUGAAGGUUGGGUAACACUAACUGGAGGACCGAACCGACUAAUGUUGAAAAAUUAGCGGAUGACCUGUGGCUGGGGGUGAAAGGCCAAUCAAACCGGGAGAUAGCUGGUUCUCCCCGAAAGCUAUUUAGGUAGCGCCUCGUGAAUUCAUCUCCGGGGGUAGAGCACUGUUUCGGCUAGGGGGCCAUCCCGGCUUACCAACCCGAUGCAAACUGCGAAUACCGGAGAAUGUUAUCACGGGAGACACACGGCGGGUGCUAACGUCCGUCGUGAAGAGGGAAACAACCCAGACCGCCAGCUAAGGUCCCAAAGUCAUGGUUAAGUGGGAAACGAUGUGGGAAGGCCCAGACAGCCAGGAUGUUGGCUUAGAAGCAGCCAUCAUUUAAAGAAAGCGUAAUAGCUCACUGGUCGAGUCGGCCUGCGCGGAAGAUGUAACGGGGCUAAACCAU
rnacentral:rRNA from 1 species